rnacentral:tRNA from 1 species
UGGGGAUAGAGAGACUUGAACUCUCACGAUUCAAUGAAUCAACGGAUUUUAAGUCCGUUGCGUCUACCAAUUCCGCCAUACCCCC